rnacentral:rRNA from 1 species
AGAGACAGCAGUAGCCGCGGUAAUACGUAGGUGGCAAGCGUUGUCCGGAAUUAUUGGGCGUAAAGGGCUCGCAGGCGGUUUCUUAAGUCUGAUGUGAAAGCCCCCGGCUCAACCGGGGAGGGUCAUUGGAAACUGGGAAACUUGAGUGCAGAAGAGGAGAGUGGAAUUCCACGUGUAGCGGUGAAAUGCGUAGAGAUGUGGAGGAACACCAGUGGCGAAGGCGACUCUCUGGUCUGUAACUGACGCUGAGGAGCGAAAGCGUGGGGAGCGAACAGGAUUAGAUACCCCAGUAGUCCCUGUCUCUUAUAC